rnacentral:rRNA from 1 species
AGCGAACGCUGGCGGCAGGCCUAACACAUGCAAGUCGAACGAAGUCUUCGGACUUAGUGGCGGACGGGUGAGUAACGCGUGGGAACGUGCCUUUAGGUUCGGAAUAACUCAGGGAAACUUGUGCUAAUACCGAAUGUGCCCUUCGGGGGAAAGAUUUAUCGCCUUAAGAGCGGCCCGCGUCUGAUUAGCUAGUUGGUGAGGUAAAGGCUCACCAAGGCGACGAUCAGUAGCGGGUCUGAGAGGAUGAUCAGCCACAUUGGGACUGAGACACGGCCCAAACUCCUACGGGAGGCAGCAGUGGGGAAUCUUGCGCAAUGGGCGAAAGCCUGACGCAGCCAUGCCGCGUGAAUGAUGAAGGUCUUAGGAUUGUAAAAUUCUUUCACCGGGGACGAUAAUGACGGUACCCGGAGAAGAAGCCCCGGCUAACUUCGUGCCAGCCGCCGCGGUAA